UAACAGCAGUAGAGAAAACAGAAAGAGGAAACAUUAUGCUCAUGGACCAGGGUUGAAACAUGCUUGUUAGUAUUCAAAUGCUAACCAAUCAAAUGUACUUAUACAAUUUUUGCAGUGACUUUUAUAAUUUCCUUAUAUUAAAAUAUCCUUUUUGCUUUUUCAUUGUAGCUGUGUCAUGAAGUUCACACCCAUGAAAAUAUUUGGAAUUGACUGGGUAUCAUUCCAGGUGUUGAUCUCAUAUGAAAGGAACAUACCUUAACAGCUUAGCGAGGAGAAACAGCGAUGCCCAUGACUUCUCUCAGUGCUUCUAUCUGUGGAAAGAAGGAAGGGACAAAGGAAGGAAGGAAGAAAAGAAGGAAAGACAGAAAGAAGGAAGGA